GAUGAACGCUGGCGGCGUGCCUAAUACAUGCAAGUCGAGCGAACGGACGAGAAGCUUGCUUCUCUGAUGUUAGCGGCGGACGGGUGAGUAACACGUGGAUAACCUACCUAUAAGACUGGGAUAACUUCGGGAAACCGGAGCUAAUACCGGAUAAUAUUUUGAACCGCAUGGUUCAAAAGUGAAAGACGGUCUUGCUGUCACUUAUAGAUGGAUCCGCGCUGCAUUAGCUAGUUGGUAAGGUAACGGCUUACCAAGGCAACGAUGCAUAGCCGACCUGAGAGGGUGAUCGGCCACACUGGAACUGGAACGCGGUCCAGACUCCUACGGGAGGCAGCAGUAGGGUAUCUGCCGCAAUGGGCGAAAGCCUGACGGAGCAACGCCGCGUGAGUGAUGAAGGUCUUCGGAUCGUAAAACUCUGUUAUUAGGGAAGAACAUAUGUGUAAGUAACUGUGCACAGCUUGACGGUACCUAAUCAGAAAGCCACGGCUAACUACGUG
rnacentral:rRNA from 1 species